AUUGAACGCUGGCGGCAGGCUUAACACAUGCAAGUCGAGCGGUAGCACAAGAGAGCUUGCCCUCUGGGUGACGAGCGGCGGACGGGGGAGUGAUGUCUGGGAAACUGCAUGAUGGAGGGGGAUAACUACUGGAAACGGUAGCGAAUACAGCAUAACGGCGCAAGACCAAAAAGGGGGACCUUCGGGCCUCUUGCCAUCAGAUGUGCCCAGAUGGGAUUAGCUAGUAGGUGGGGUAAUGGCUCACCUAGGCGACGAUCCCUAGCUGGUCUGAGAGGAUGAGCAGCCACACUGGAACUGAGACACGGUCCAGACUCCUACGGGAGGCAGCAGUGGGGAAUAUUGCACAAUGGGCGCAAGCCUGAUGCAGCCAUGCCGCGUGUGUGAAGAAGGCCUUCGGGUUGUAAAGCCCUUUCAUCGAGGAGGAAGGUGGUGAACUUAAUACGUUCAUCUAUUGACGUUACUCGCAGAAGAAGCACCGGCUAACUCCGUG
rnacentral:rRNA from 1 species